rnacentral:rRNA from 1 species
GACGAACGCUGGCGGCGUGCUUAACACAUGCAAGUCGAACGGAAAGGCCCUGCUUUUGUGGGGUGCUCGAGUGGCGAACGGGUGAGUAACACGUGAGUAACCUGCCCUUGACUUUGGGAUAACUUCAGGAAACUGGGGCUAAUACCGGAUAGGAGCUCCUGCUGCAUGGUGGGGGUUGGAAAGUUUCGGCGGUUGGGGAUGGACUCGCGGCUUAUCAGCUUGUUGGUGGGGUAGUGGCUUACCAAGGCUUUGACGGGUAGCCGGCCUGAGAGGGUGACCGGCCACAUUGGGACUGAGAUACGGCCCAGACGCCUACGGGAGGCAGCAGGGGGGAAUAUUGCACAAUGGGCGGAAGCCUGAUGCAGCAACGCCGCGUGCGGGAUGACGGCCUUCGGGUUGUAAACCGCUUUCGCCUGUGACGAAGCGUGAUUGACGGUAAUGGGUAAAGAAGCACCGGCUAACUACGUG